GAUGCUGAACCAGGGCGGUUUGGAGGUGGAUGACGUGAGGUCUGCAGCGCUCCACGCUCUGGAGGGUCCUGUGCUGGGUGUAACACUCUGCUAGCACCCUCUUACAGGUCUUAAUCAUUGUACCCUUGAAUAUGUGCUUUAUAAGUGAAGUCCGGGUGUGGACUUGCGUUGAGCGGAGCCGGGACGCGCACCAUGUGUAUGCGCAUGCGUGUGUGUCUGCGGUGAUUUCUAGCAGCCUCAUCCUUGGGUUGUGGUACCCACGCCCAUGAGCACAGGGCUCCAGUGGACUCGUGAUACCUGGGGCAUCAGUGAGGCUCAAAGUGGGCGCCAGGGAAGCUGCUAAACCCACAACCCAGUCAUCAAAGGAGCUGAUGGCACCGAGAAGCUGUGCUUUCCUAGAGAAAGAAAGCAGUGACAUUCUAAGAAACACACACGAGGGAUCCCAUCACAUUUAUUCCCGCCCUCAUGACUUCCCUGCGUUACCAACUACUUAUGCCAACAAGGACAACAGAAACGGAAAGAGGGCAGCCAUGGGUCAUCCUCCCUACUCAACUGAGGAUGGAAAAUGCUGGUAGGAUUGGCCUCAUGCUUGUAUAUUCUGUACCAAGCCCUGCAAAUUACAGAGCCAGCCCAGAAUUUGAAUUAUGGAGCCUAGACAUCUGUAUUUGAAACUCUCCUGCUGGAAGAUUCUGAUGUGGCCAGAAUCUAGAUGCUGGGUUCUAUUUCAAAGGCUUCCCAGGGUUCUCUUCCUCCAUCCACCCUGCCCCUCUCCCCUUGGGCCAGUAAACUCCUGAACACAAGAUUCUCCAAGCACGAAAGUCAUCUCCUUGCAUAGCUGAGGAUCUCUCAAAAAGGACUUAAACUAUUCUUCAGAUGUCCUCAAUGUUAAGCAUACGAUUGCCCAGCUACUCUGUAAAGGCUGCCCAAUUUUAAAUGCACUCCAUCCUGACUUCAGAGGCUACACAUUUUUCUUCCUUGGAGUCAUAAGGUUCUUUCCUAUCGGGUUUCCAGAUGCCCCUCUGAUUUCUACAUUUACAAUUACAGUCAUUUUCCUAAUCAACUCCUAAUCAGCUCCAGGUUUUCCUGGAGCCCUGUUUGUCCUCAAGAAAUCCCAGAGGCCCCUGAGCUGCUCCCCUGUUCUGUCUCCAAUGGAGACCACCACACCUGGUCUUGGCAGGACCGACUGGCACUCUGCAGCCAAGAGGCCACAGGGCACCCCCUCCCACCUCCAUCUCCAUCUUCUGGAACCACCCCAUCUUCCCCUCUUCUUCCCUCCCCCCACCCUGUAUCCCCCUCAUCAAUCCCCAUUACUUCUUGCAGUGAAACACCAAGGG
ensembl:lncRNA